CUACUAUUUUAGGGUCUUGAAAGAGGAAACGGAAAUGGUUGGAUGUAUGUGGCGGCUUGCCCUACGGCGUUCGCGAACGCGAUUUGAAGCGAUUUUCCAAGGGGUAUGGUCGAGCCCGCGAUAUUCUGAUCAAGAAUGGAUAUGGUUUUGUGGAAUUCGAAGACUACCGGGAUGCCGAUAAUAAGCUAGGAGAGAGAUACGAAUGAUCUGGAUCUACUUCUCUCAGUAUAUGAUCAGCUAUUAAUUGUAUAUUUUCGAAGUCUCGAAGUCACCCAGCCGCUCCAAGUCCAAGAACGGCUCGAAAUCGGCCGAAAAGUCUCGCUCGCGCUCCCGUUCCAACAAAUCCCGUGACAACAGCAAAUCGAAAUCACGAUCCCGCUCGCCGAAACGCGAUCGCGAUGAGUCGCGUUCUCGCUCUCGAUCCCGCGACCGUUCCCAGUCGCAGGACAAAUCAAAUGAUAAAUCGCGAUUGGCAUCUCCCAAAAAUAACGAUCACGCUCCAGAGCGUAAUGAAAGUAGAUUAAAUACGUUCGAUUAUCUUUUAUAGUAGUGCUGACAGAGAAGAAAAAGAAUCGGGAUGUCCACAUCCACUACUUCUUCUUGAGCUGGUGCAUCUUUCAUUACCUUAUCAAUCUUUUCACUUCUACUGUCACAUUUCAUGCAGACAAUACAUACAAUUGAAUAGAAAUUUCGGCAAGAGCUGGCACGGUUGUUAUGGUGUGCCUCGACAGUCGUGUGCGGAGGGCGGGCUUAGGGCAGCCGCAACGGCGGCAGCAAAGCAGGGCACUGCGUGCUCUAGAGCGGCAGCGGUGCUGUGACCUACGGCAGCACCGCAAGGCGCCACGAGCGCGCCUAAAGCGGUGAAGGAGUAGGAGGGAGGAACGGGGCAGCACGGCUGCUGUUAGAGGCUGCGAAUGCAAAGCGUGCCAGGGGGAGAGGAAAAUAACAGAAGGUCAGGGCAGAUAAACAGGUCCACGGCCCCCCUCUAUAGGCCCCCAUGGGCCUCUAGUCGCCACCAGGUGUUGGCAAUGUUGGCAGCCUAGGAGGGGGGCUUGGAGAGAUGACCGUUUUUUAUGUAAAUAUAGGAUAUAAGUAGCAAAAAUAAAUAAAUGGUCAGAUUAAAAAAAAAAAGAAAU